CUGACAGGUCCUUAGAGGCCACUGUGAGGACUACGUCUCAAUGCAAAUGAACAAUUGGUAAGUUCUGAAAAGAGAACUGAGAUGUCCAAACUUAGCUAGUUAAAAAAAGAAGCAUACCUGCUCUGUAUUUGGUUGAAAAUAGAUGGCAGGAGCGGAAGCUAGUGAGAAGAAACACUUAGAAGAACACUGCAAUAAUCCAAGUAUGGGUAUUAGACCAGCAUUGUAGCAGGAGAUAUGAUGAAAAGACAUUGUAUAUCAGUUAAAUUUUGAAGGUAUCACUAGUAGGAUUUUCUACAGUAUUAGAUAUGGAAGAUAACAUAAUGAAAUAAAUGAAGAUUGACUGCUUGGUUUAUGGCCUGGACAAUUAGAAGGAUAGAGCUGACAUUAACGAAGAUGGGGGAAGUUGAGUAACGACAGGAGCGAAAAUUAGUAGUUAAAAUUUGGACAUGUUACUUUUGACAUGUUUAUUCAAGUAGAAAUUUAGAAUAGUUGGAUAUAUGUUCGGAUUAUUAGAUAGAGGUGAAAGUGGGAGGCAUAAAAUCAGAAAAUUUCAAUCUAUAUCUUAGAUACAGAUAUAGAUAUAGACGUGUAUAGUAACAUGGAAAAUUGCUAAGAAUACCGAGGACCUGAAUUUAACUAGAAAAGAAAAAAGCCUGGACAACUCUAAAACAGAGAGCAAGAAAAGAAGAGAAAGAACCAGUAAAGAAGACUGGGUAAAGUUAAAGAACAACCAACAGAAUAAAGAAUCCUGGAGGCUAAUUAUGAUACUUGUGCCAAACUGAAAGGAAUGAUCAAUAUCCACCACUGACUAAGGUUUCAACCCUUUCACAAUUCCUGAUGUGGGCUUUAUUGAUGUUGGGACCAAAUCACUAUUAUAAGGUUUUUGAGAGAAAAGCAAAUAAAGUCAUUGGAACAACAAAAAUAUUUUAUUUUCCUUAGCUACACAAAUUCUGCUUAUGAAUAAAAACAAACCUAAAACGUACACAAAGAAAGAGGAAGCAAAAGAACAUAAUUACAUCUGUGCAUUGAAUGGAGCUCAAUUCAUAAUAUUCACCUGUAAAUAUUUCUCUCUAUUGUUGGAAA
rnacentral:lncRNA from 1 species